UGAUGAAAAUUUCUGCACUUGUGCUGUGCACUUGGUACCCUUCGUACAGAGCUUCGUAUAUUUCACCAUAGUAAUCCACCACCGAGUUUAACUUCACAACCAGCAGUUGCUUUUCCAUACGCUUUUGUAGUGUUUAGCAGUCUCAAAAUGUCUCAAAAAAAUUUAGAUAACCACGCUAAUCAACUGAAUCCUAAUAAUUCAUCUUUUUAUUCUUCCAGAGGAAUGUCCGAACGGCCCAGUGAUUGGGGUAGUAGCUACCAACCUAAUCCACAGCACACUCAAUCCAAUUUAGACAAUCACUCAAACCAGCUAAAUCCAAAUCACCAAGAAUAUGACCACUCUAGAUUUUCUAGAAGUCAAAAGAAGUAAUUUUUAAAUGUAUACACAUGUAUACGGUGAUGUAGCAAUUUAUAUUGUGGCUAAUAAUAAUAAAUAAAAGCCUAAUUAAUAAAAA